AUGGCCGAGCAGCCUCAGCCACAGCAGAUGAAAACUUCCUUCCUUUUCAUCCAGCUGCAGCCCCCACCAACCCAAGCUACCCAAACUCUCCCCGCCCCUUCUCCAGCAACCGCAGUCGCAACAGCAGCCCCAGGGGGCCUGGAGGAGGGACACAUUUUCCCAAGUCCCAGAGCAAGCUUCUUCUCUGCUCCCUGGAACUUCAGAUGUACGCAGGGCUUAGCUCCAUCGCCUUCGAGUCUCCUGCCCGGGGAAGGCCCUGGAACACUGAGACCAGCUGCUUUCGAUUGCUACUCACUGAAGGAAAAGAAGGAAGAAACAGAGAAAUCUCAGAAUCUGCAUGUAAAGAGGAGUGGGGUUUGUGGAUCCCCACAUAGUAGGCGUUGCCUGGUCCCUGCUUCUAGGAAACUUGGCCUACCACAACAACUGCCAUGUAGGCUUGCUAGCCCAGCUCCUACACUGAAUGAUGGAAACAGCAGUCCUUCAAUAGGCUGGAAGCACCGGCCAGUCAUUUCUGCCCACGAGGACCUGUGGGAUAUGGACCCAGAAGCCAGGAAUGCCAUCGAAUUCUCAGUUCCACAAAGCACCCUGUCCUAUGCAGCUGACAGGGGCAAAAGGGCACUCCAGAGGAGAGGGACUGUAAACCAAGAGGUACUCCCAAAGAACUGUGAAGAAGACAUAGGUACCACAGUGCUGGCAACAAGGGCACAGCUCUUCAGAUAUUGCCCCACCAUUCAGAUCAGCCAGAGUUGCCUGGCCCCACCUGCUGCUGUGCCUCUCAAGAAAUUGGGGUUGGAAUUUCUAGUUUCAGAUAUGAGAAUUAAGGUGUGG
ensembl:lincRNA